AUUGAACGCUGGCGGCAUGCUUUACACAUGCAAGUCGGACGGCAGCACAGAGAAGCUUGCUUCUUGGGUGGCGAGUGGCGAACGGGUGAGUUACAUAUCGGAACGUACCGAGCAGUGGGGGAUAACUAAUCGAAAGAUUAGCUAAUACCGCAUAUUUUCUGAGGAAGAAAGCAGGGGACCAUUUGGCCUUGCGCUGUUUGAGCGGCCGAUAUCUGAUUAGCUAGUUGGUGGGGUAAAGGCCUACCAAGGCGACGAUCAGUAGCGGGUCUGAGAGGAUGAUCCGCCACACUGGGACUGAGACACGGCCCAGACUCCUACGGGAGGCAGCAGUGGGGAAUUUUGGACAAUGGGCGCAAGCCUGAUCCAGCCAUGCCGCGUGUCUGAAGAAGGCCUUCGGGUUGUAAAGGACUUUUGUCAGGGAAGAAAAGGGCGGGGUUAUACCCCGUGUCUGAUCAGACGGUACUCGUAGUAAAGCACUGGUCAAGGCACA
rnacentral:rRNA from 1 species